rnacentral:tRNA from 1 species
CGACUUUAAAAAUCGNGAGGGUUCAAGUCCCUCUAUCCCCA